UACGUAGGUGGCAAGCGUUGUCCGGAUUUAUUGGGUUUAGAGGGUGCGUAGGCGGUCCAUUAAGUCAGUUGUGAAAUACGGCAGCUUAACUGUCGAGGUGUAAUUGAUACUGGAGGACUUGAGUACAGACGAGGUAGGCGGAAUUGACGGUGUAGCGGUGAAAUGCUUAGAGAUCGUCCAGAACACCGAUAGCGAAGGCAGCUUACUAAGGAGUAACUGACGCUGAGGCACGAAAGUGUGGGGAUCAAACAGG
rnacentral:rRNA from 1 species